AGGUUCUUCUGUGAUAUGUUUUCAUGGUGUGGGAAUAAGACUUGGUGGUCUAAUACAGCUAAUACAAAGGUUAGCAUCACAGCUUGUCUGUAAAGAUUGAAGCUGGGAGUGGGCAUUGGAGCUGACUUUUAUGGUAACUGUGGCUGCAUAAAAGGGCUAUGUGAUUUUACUGUAACAGUCAAGAAUGUAAUUCAGACUAUUUUUGUGUAUGUUUGAGAAAAUGUUUAUAAUUUUUACAAAAAGAAAAAAAAAAAUUAUGUACAGGUUCUCCAUUUUCAACAAGAUUGGAAGUUGUAGGUUAAUAGGUCUUUGAAAUUUCAAAAAUUACUUUGAAAUUCUAUUUUCUGUUCAUACUCAUGUCUAGGCAAAACACUUCCAGUAGUUUAAGAAUGGAGAAUCUAAAAAAAAAGAAAAAAAUGUUCAAUUAUUGAAAUGUUUUUUAUUUUUGCAAAUUGUAAUAUAUUUUUUCACCUUUGUGUCAUUUUUAGCUGAGUUUAUAACAAAGGGUAUAUUAUUUUAAGAAUAUUUUACCAGAUGCAUAGUUGAAGAAUAUCUUGAUGAAAGUAGAUUGAUUGAUUUUUGGUAUUUAACACCACUUUCAGCAUGAUUUGCUAUAUCUUGGCUGCCAGUUUUUAUUUGUGGAGACAGCCUGGUGAAAACAUCCCCUUCAACAGAGAAACUGGCAACUCUAGUCA